rnacentral:rRNA from 1 species
GACGAACGCUGCGGCGUGCUUAACACAUGCAAGUCGUACGGUAAGGCCCUUUCGGGGGUACACGAGUGGCGAACGGGUGAGUAACACGUGAGUAACCUGCCCACAACUUUGGGAUAACGCUAGGAAACUGGUGCUAAUACUGGAUAUGUGCUCCUGCUGCAUGGUGGGGGUUGGAAAGCUCCGGCGGUUGUGGAUGGACUCGCGGCCUAUCAGCUUGUUGGUGGGGUAGUGGCCUACCAAGGCGGCGACGGGUAGCCGGCCUGAGAGGGUGACCGGCCACAUUGGGACUGAGAUACGGCCCAGACUCCUACGGGAGGCAGCAGUGGGGAAUAUUGCACAAUGGGCGCAAGCCUGAUGCAGCAACGCCGCGUGCGGGAUGACGGCCUUCGGGUUGUAAACCGCUUUCAGCAGGGACGAAGCUUUUUGUGACGGUACCUGCAGAAGAAGCACCGGCUAACUACGUG